rnacentral:lncRNA from 1 species
AUGAGAAAACAUAAUACCAAGUUACAGAUUUGCCUAAAAACCAGCCACUUCCAUUUUUCCUUUUUUUUUCUGUUGGGGGAUUUAAUCCAGAGCAAAAAAGAGAGAUCUCUGGAAGCUGGUCUCACAGCAAAGAUGUAUGAUGCUGUCAUGUAUCUAUGUAUGGCUAUUAUGGUGGCACUCAAAUUCAAAUGUCAUCUGCGUGAGAUGAAUUCACUCUUGGUGUUUGCCUCUGCCUCCCGUUCUUCUGCAACAGUAGAGUCCAGCAUUGACUAAAGUGUGUACAGUUGUGGAGACAGGGAAGAUUCCUCACUAAUGAAGACCUGCUGUUUUGUAAUGCUGCAACAUGUUCCAGCCUAUUCCAGUGCCAUGUGCAUCACGUGGGAUCUGGGCUGACAG